AGGUGGUUGAGUAAGGCGGAUGUGAAAGCCCUAGGCUUAACCUGGGAAUUGCAUUCGAUACUACUCGGAUAGAGUAUGGGAGAGGGAAGCGGAAUUCCCGGUGUAGCAGUGAAAUGCGUAGAGAUCGGGAGGAACAUCUGUGGCGAAGGCGGCCAUCUGGACCAGCACUGACACUGAGGCACGAAAGCGUGGGGAGCAAACAG
rnacentral:rRNA from 1 species